rnacentral:rRNA from 1 species
CUCGUAGGUGGCCAACUAAGUCAGACGUGAAAUCCCUCAGCUUAACUGGGGAACUGCGUCUGAUACUGGAUGGCUUGAGUUUGGGAGAGGGAUGCGGAAUUCCAGGUGUAGCGGUGAAAUGCGUAGAUAUCUGGAGGAACACCGGUGGCGAAGGCGGCAUCCUGGACCAAUACUGACACUGAGGAGCGAAAGCCAGGGGAGCAAAACGG